rnacentral:rRNA from 1 species
AUACAUGCAAGUCGAGCGAAUGGAUUAAGAGCUUGCUCUUAUGAAGUUAGCGGCGGACGGGUGAGUAACACGUGGGUAACCUGCCCAUAAGACUGGGAUAACUCCGGGAAACCGGGGCUAAUACCGGAUAAUAUUUUGAACUGCAUGGUUCGAAAUUGAAAGGCGGCUUCGGCUGUCACUUAUGGAUGGACCCGCGUCGCAUUAGCUAGUUGGUGAGGUAACGGCUCACCAAGGCAACGAUGCGUAGCCGACCUGAGAGGGUGAUCGGCCACACUGGGACUGAGACACGGCCCAGACUCCUACGGGAGGCAGCAGUAGGGAAUCUUCCGCAAUGGACGAAAGUCUGACGGAGCAACGCCGCGUGAGUGAUGAAGGCUUUCGGGUCGUAAAACUCUGUUGUUAGGGAAGAACAAGUGCUAGUUGAAUAAGCUGGCACCUUGACGGUACCUAACCAGAAAGCCACGGCUAACUACGUGCCAGCAGCCGCGGUAAUACGUAGGUGGCAAGCGUUAUCCGGAAUUAUUGGGCGUAAAGCGCGCGCAGGUGGUUUCUUAAGUCUGAUGUGAAAGCCCACGGCUCAACCGUGGAGGGUCAUUGGAAACUGGGAGACUUG